CCCGAAACCGAUCGAGCUAGUUGUUGGCAGGUCUGGAGUAUUACCAGGACCGAACCCGUGUCUGUCGCAAUAGACUGGGAAGACCAUCAACUAGGGGUGAAAGGCCAAUCAAGUUCGGUGAUAGCUGGUUUUCUGCGAAAUCUAUUCAGGUAAAGAGUGUGUAUAAGACCGUAAUUA
rnacentral:rRNA from 1 species